UAGUCAUAUGCUUGUCUCAAAGAUUAAGCCAUGCAUGUCUAAGUAUAAGCUUUUAUACGGCGAGACUGCGGAUGGCUCAUUAAAUCAGUUAUAGUUUAUUUGAUGGUUCCUUUUUUUUACUACUUGGAUAACCGUAGUAAUUCUAGAGCUAAUACAUGCAAAAAGUCCUGACUAGGGGGUUUCGAUCUUCUGGAAGGGAUGUAUUUAUUAGAUAAAAAACCGAUGCAGGGUGGCUUGCUGCCCUGGACCCAACGGUGAUUCAUAAUAACUCUAUCGAA
rnacentral:rRNA from 1 species